AAGUAGAAAAGGGCGUAUGGGGAAUGCCUAGGCUCUCAGAGGCGAUGAAGGACGUGAUAAGCUGCGAUAAGCUGCGGGGAUCAGCACAUAUGAAUUGAUCCGCAGAUUUCCGAAUGGGACAACCCAGCAUGUUGAAGACAUGUUAUUCCGAACUUGUUUCGGAAGGCGAACCCGGGGAACUGAAACAUCUAAGUACCCGGAGGAAGAGAAAACAAUUAGUGAUUCCGUUAGUAGUGGCGAGCGAACGCGGAACAGCCCAAACCAUUUUAGUUACGGCUAGAGUGGGGUUGUAGGACCACGAUAUCUUAACAAAAUUGAACGAGAAUUACCUGGGAAGGUAAGCCAAAGAAGGUGAAAGCCCUGUAUUGGUAAGAUUUUGAGCGGUAGUGGUAUCCUGAGUAGGGCGGGGCAGGUGAAACCCCGUUUGAAUCUGCCGGCACCAUCCGGCAAGGCUAAAUACUCCUGAGAGACCGAUAGUGAACCAGUACCGUGAGGGAAAGGUGAAAAGUACCCUGAAUAAGGGGGUGAAAUAGUACCUGAAACCAUACGCUUACAAGCGAUCGGAGCCCAAUAAUUGGGUGACGGUGUGCCUUUUGCAUAAUGAGCCUACGAGUUACUCCUCUCUAGCAAGGUUAAGGAUUUAAGGUCCGCAGCCGGAGCGAAAGCGAGUCUGAAUAGGGCGUUGAGUGGCGUGAUCUAGACCCGAAGCGAAGUGAUCUACCCAUGGCCAGGUUGAAGCGCGUGUAAGAGCGCGUGGAGGACCGAACCCACUUCAGUUGAAAAUGGAGGGGAUGAGCUGUGGAUAGGGGUGAAAGGCUAAACAAACUUGGAAAUAGCUGGUUCUCUCCGAAAACUAUUUAGGUAGUGCCUCGUGUAUCACCUUCGGGGGUAGAGCACUGUCAUGGUUGAGGGGUCCAUUGCGGAUUACCUCGCCAUAGCAAACUCCGAAUACCGAAGAGUGCAAUCACGGGAGACAGACAUCGGGUGCUAACGUCCGGUGUCAAGAGGGAAACAACCCAGACCGCCAGCUAAGGUCCCCAAACAUGGCUAAGUGGGAAACGAAGUGGG
rnacentral:rRNA from 13 species